rnacentral:rRNA from 1 species
UACGGGGGGGGGCAAGCGUUGUUCGGAAUUACUGGGCGUAAAGGGCUCGUAGGUGGCCAACUAAGUCGGACGUGAAAUCCCUCGGCUUAACCGGGGAACUGCGUCUGAUACUGGAUGGCUUGAGUUCGGGAGAGGGAUGCGGAAUUCCAGGUGUAGCGGUGAAAUGCGUAGAUAUCUGGAGGAACACCGGUGGCGAAGGCGGCAUCCUGGACCGACACUGACGCUGAGGAGCGAAAGCCAGGGGAGCAAAGCGGG